ACUCCUACGGGAGGCAGCAGUGGGGAAUAUUGCGCAAUGGACGAAAGUCUGACGCAGCGACGCCGCGUGGAGGAUGAAGGUUUCGGUAUCGUAAACUCCUGUCAAGAGGGAAGAAACCUAUUAUGAAUAAUACUCAUAGUAAUUGACGGUACCUCUAGAGGAAGCACCGGCUAAUUCAGUGCCAGCAGCCGCGGUAAUACUGAAGGUGCAAGCGUUAAUCGGAAUCACUGGGCGUAAAGCGCUCGUAGGUGGCUUUGUAAGUCAGGUGUGAAAGCCCACGGCUCAACCGUGGAAUUGCACUUGAUACUGCAUCGCUAGAGUAUAGGAGAGGGAAGUGGAAUUUCUGGUGUAGGAGUGAAAUCCGUAGAGAUCAGAAGGAACACCGUGGCGAAGGCGACUUCCUGGACUAUUACUGACACUGAGGAGCGAAAGCGUGGGAGCAAACAGGAUUAGAUACCCCGUGGUAGACUGUCA
rnacentral:rRNA from 1 species